rnacentral:rRNA from 1 species
AAAGUGAACAAGGUUUCCGUAGGUGAACCUGCGGAAGGAUCAUUACUGAAUAACUAAAUCUUUAGUUUUUCAUACCCCAUUGUUGACUUACCCAUGUUGCUUCCACGUGGACAGGCGUUCAUUCUGCCCUCUGGCUUGUUGUGCUUACCCCACACUUGACAGGGAGUUGCCCGUGGUAAGACCCCAAUAUUACACUUGUUAUAUAUACUAUAAUGUCUGAAUAAAUCAUUUCAAAUGAAAUAAAACUUUCAACAACGGAUCUCUAGGCUCUUGCAUCGAUGAAGAACGCANGUGAAAUGCGAUAAGUAAUGUGAAUUGCAGAAUCUCGUGAAUCAUCGAAUCUUUGAACGCACAUUGCGCCCUAUGGUAUUCCGUAGGGCAUGCCUGUCUGAGCGUCAGCUCCCCCCAACUCAAACUUUUGUUAGUUUGGAUUACUUUGAAGGUGUAGCUUGUCAAAGCUGCUUUUCAGAAAUUCAUAGGCAGUAUGGUUAUUCCUAGACCAGACGUAAUAAUAAUAAAACCGUCUUUUUGGGAAAGAAUUGUGCUUGCCUCAACCCACCCAUUAUCUUUUUACUUGGGUGACUCAGNCAGGUAGGGAUACCCGC